rnacentral:rRNA from 1 species
CAUGCAGGCGGUUAUACAAGUAGGAUGUGAAAGCCUGGGGCUCAACCUCAGAACUGCAUUCUAAACUGUGUGACUAGAGUAUUGCAGGGGGGAGACGGAAUUUCAGGUGUAGCGGUGGAAUGCGUAGAUAUCUGAAAGAACACCAAAGGCGAAGGCAGUCUCCUGGGGCAAAUACUGACGCUCAUAUGCGAAAGCGUGGGUAGCAAACA